rnacentral:rRNA from 1 species
CACUAUGCCUAGCCCUAAACAUUGGUACUUCCACACACACCAUACCCGCCCGGGUACUACAAGCAUCAGCUUAAAACCCAAAGGACUUGGCGGUGCUUUAGACCCCCCUAGAGGAGCCUGUUCUAGAACCGAUAACCCCCGUUCAACCUCACCUCUUCUUGUUUACCCCGCCUAUAUACCGCCGUCGUCAGCUUACCCUGUGAAGGCCUAAUAGUAAGCACAAGUGGCACAGCCAAAAACGUCAGGUCGAGGUGUAGCGCAUGAAGAGGGAAGAAAUGGGCUACAUUCCCUAGCAUAGGGAAAACGGACUAUGUACUGAAACAUACACAUGAAGGAGGAUUUAGUAGUAAGUCAGGAACAAUAUGCCUCACUGAAACUGGCCCUGAAGCGCGCACACACCGCCCGUCACUCUCCCCAAGCCCAUUACUUCAACUAAUUAAAUCACCAACCACCGCGAAGGGGAGGCAAGUCGUAA